UCGUGUAGAUAUACACAAGCCACGAUUCAUGUGUGCGAGCCGUAGCGAGAAGCGGAGAUUGGCACGCGCGACAUAACCUAUUCAAGAAAUGAUCGCGUUUCUUUCUCAAAUCGAAGAAAAACGAUCACACUUCAAGCCGACUCUCACUUCCGCAACAGUACCCAACACGAAGAUUCCAGGGGUGACUAACGAGUACCUAGUAGUCAACAGAUCUACUUGAUCGUAGCCGCUACCGAUUACAAAAUACAAAUUACAAAUUACGAAUUACAGAUUAUAAAUUACGAAUUACAAAUUACAAAUCACAAAUUACAAAUUACAUAUUACGAAUUACGGAUUACGGGAGAAGUAAAAACGAGCGUAUACAAACUAUUACAGUAAGAAGAAAGCACACACAAAAUAGAGACGCGCACUUACGAAAGCGAAGAAACGGACGUGAGACGAGAGCUCGAUAGAAAAGUUUCGAUACGAGAUGAGAGACAAAAUCGAUCUUGCGGAUCGAUUGGAAAUCACGCGCAACGCGCAACGCACCGAGCACGGUAGUACGUCUAUCCCAAUCACGUCUCGGCUCUCUGCAUAUAAAAAAAGAACGGAGAAGAAACACGGGGAAGAAAGAUGAAAAGGGUGUGACGUUGCUAGUCUGGUUUGGUGGGACGAGGAUGAGACGCGUAUGCGUGACGUUCUUAUCUCACGUUUAAACGAGUGAGACGGUAAACACAGGGGAAACUGGAAGGAAAGAGAUAGGAAAGAGAGAUGUUACCACGGGGUUCUUCGCGUCCUACCACCUUCGACACUGACGAGAGAGAGCCGAGUUCGCCCCGUGGCCUGGCUUCUUGGGAGGAAAACACGCGUUCUCGUGAUCGACGCCUUGUGUGUAUGUACGCGAGGGUGGUCAAAUGUCUACAUGUGUACCGGGACGAAAUUCAAAACCUGUUACGUGACGCCGCUCAGAAGAUAAUAACGUGGCCAAGCCGAACUUGUUCGUUCGAAGAUUCGAAAUUCUCAUCAUCUAUUUCCGCUUGGAUCGCAUUCUACCACGAGAAGAAAAUCAUUCUCGAUCUGUUUUUCGCUGUUAUUUUCGAUCAUUCGAAUGUCGCGCAAAAACGAAUCUCUCACUGUCUCAA